GAGAGGGCGCCUGAGAAACGGCGACCACUUCCAAGGAAGGCAGCAGGCGCGCAAAUUACCCACUCUCAAAACGAGGAGGUAGUGAAGAGAAAUAACGAUGUUAGUCUUUUAUAGGCUGACAAUCGGAAUGGGAACACUGUAACAGGUUAUCGAUUAACAAUUGGAGGGCAAGUCUGGUGCCAGCAGCCGCGGUAAUUCCAGCUCCAAUAAGGAAAACUAAAGUUGCUGUGUUUAAAAAGCUCGUAGUUGAAUUUCGGGUAUUUGUUGCUAGCUGGUCUAACUGGCCAUGUUGGUUAACAGAUCCUCAUUUGCUGGACGGCUGGCGAUGAUCUUCAUCGAUUGUCGUCAGUUGCCAGCACGUUUACUUUGAGAAAAUUAGAGUGCUAAAAGCAGGCUCACGCCUAUAUAUAUUGCAUGGAAUAAUGAAAUAAGAUCUCGAUUUUAUUUCGUUGGUUUUAGAAAUUGAGAUAAUGAUUAAUAGGAUCAGAGGGGGGCGUACGUACUGUGGUGUGAGAGGUGAAAUUCUUGGAUCGCCACAGGACGAACAGCAGCGAAGGCGUUCGCCAAGAAUGUUUUCAUUAAUCAAGAACGAAAGUUUGAGGUUCGAAGACGAUUAGAUACCGUCCUAGUUCAAACCAUAAACGUUGCCAACUGUCUUUUAGAUGCGGGUUAUUUAUAUGACUCAUCUGGCGAAUCUCGAGAAAUCUAAGUUUUUAGGUUCCGGGGGAAGUAUGGUUGCAAAGCUGAAACUUAAAAGAAUUGACGGAAGGACACACAAGAAGUGGAGCCUGUGGCCUAAUUUGACUCAACACGGGAAACCUUACUCGGCCAGGACACUUUUAGGAUUGACAGAUUGAGAGCUCUUUCUUGAUUAGGUGGGUGGUGGUGCAUGGUCGUUCGUAGUUCGUGGAGCGAUUUGUCUGAUUAAUUUCGAUAACGAACGAGACUCCGGCUUACUAAAUAGUCUAAAGUUCGAAGGGACUUUUCAAGACUUCUUAGCAGGAUAAGUGGCACUUUUUAAGCCACACGAAAUGGAGCAAUAACAGGUCCGUGAUGCCCA
rnacentral:rRNA from 1 species